UUGUUUUUCUUUUUUCAUUUGCUCUCAGCAAGUACACAAAGUCUUGCUGUAGCUACCUGUGGCAAGACACAGAUGUUGCUGAAGUAAAGACAGUUUCUUUGGCCACUUUGUUCUCUUUAAUUACAAGCAAGUCUCUGUCUUAUGUGUCUACCACAACAUCAUCUCACAACCUGUACAGGUCAAUGCCACGCUCAUUUUUAGGACAAACGCGUCCUAGUAACUGUAUUUGUUCAGUGGUCUGACUGAUGUUGUUUGAGGAACAAAUGAGGGUUUUGGUGGCACAUCAGGUUUUAACGAGGGUGUCCUCUUUAUUCCUGUACGAGGAAGAGUGCCAUUGCUUGUGUAACUGCUUUGCCUGGACAAGGAAGGCUGGAGGUGAACGCUGACAGGCGUUCCUUGCAUGUAGUCCAUCUUUGUGCCUGCUGUGGGCGUCACAUAACCCCCCCGAUUAAUACUGGGCUGUCUGGAUAACAAAACACCAUUUGGUGAGUUUAAGUUUUUAGGAAGGGCAGAUAUUGAAUGCCUUUGUGAAGAAUUUUUGUGAUAACCUCUCUGCCUUUCCAAAGAGGUCAUCGGUACUGCAGGUGUGGUGGGAACGUCCACUCGUUUUGUGGGGCUGUUUCUCGGAAGAGUUGAUGGUGGAGAGUAUAAAGAUGCCUCCCUGUUGGGAACUUUAGGUGGGAUCUCAGACAUAUUUCCCAUUGGAUCCAGCAUUAAAGUCUGGUGGGCCACUUGAAUAUCUCCCAUAAUUGCUUUUGGAUUACUAGUAGUUUCAUUUAAGUGCUUCAGAAAAUCAUUCAGGGUGUUCCUGGAAUCAACAGACCUCCUGUGGUCUCUUUUGCUGGAUGGUUUUGUAAGUGGAUGAUCAAUAUGUUGCAUCUUCUUGUCUGCCUUGUGCGCAUUAGAAUUUGAGAAAGACGUGUUGUAAUCAUGAGUAGCAUUGGGAAGAACGAUAGCACUAGGGAUAUGUCCAUGACUCAGAGGAGAGUGAGGUGGAGGACUGGAAGGAAAAAACUGAGGGCUUUUUAGUGGGGUUUCCUUUCGUGAAGCAUUGAGAUUACUGUGUGCUUUGUCCGACUGACUUUUCAUGGCUUGCAGAGUCUUUUGCUGAAGAACUGGUGUGGAUUCAGGAGUGGGAAGCGCAGCUAAUUCCGGAGGCUGGCCCCUGUGGUCCAUCAUCAUGGACUUCAUAUCACCAUUUGGUGGCAAUUCCUUUCUGCUGGUCAGCAGCAGCAGAUUGUUCUGAUGUUUGACAUUCAGGAAGAAGUGUAUUUGUAGAAGAAUUAGACUGUAUCACUGACGUCACUACAGUGGAAUUGUGAUGUUCACUCAAGCAAAAUGGCAAAUAACCAAAUAUUUUCAGGUUAUUCAACAUGAGAGACAUUGUGAAAUGACAAACAAGCAAUGAAGUUGGCAUUAAUGAAUUAGUUCUGGUUCACUAUCAUUUUUGUUUACCUUGGUACUAAACUAGAUAAAAAGCUACAUAUUUCACGUGUUCUCAUAAUACUUACUUUGCGUGGUUAUAUGCUUCAAUCUCUUCCAGUAACACACUGUCAUUCAAAGAGAAAGGUCUGGUCUUUGCCAAGAUUUUAAGUACUACUCCUGCUUCAGAGCCAACAAAUAUGACUGUGUAGUUCUGAUGUGGUCCAGCAGCGUGGUCUACAGCAAUUGCUGUCAAUCUGUAUCUAUCAAGGCCAAAAGACAAACCAUUAACAAACAGCGUGCUUUCUUCUUUCCACAUGCUUCAUUUUUUGAAUGAUGUCAUACCUGACGCGUGUUUUGGUAAACCAAGGCUCCUCAAUGAUUGAGGGAACAGCUGAAUCCAUCAAAGGAUGAGAUUUGAUGAAGGACAAUGUUUCGUCUGGGAAAUCAAUGGAGGUUUUGUAAGCUUCUGCUAGGCCAUGUUUUGCACAGCAGCCAGGUCUGAAAGGAGAACAACACUGUUUUUUCUCCUCUUGGUAUUUCAGUUAAUGAGAGAAGGCAGCCUGCUAAUGAGCAUCCUUAUGGUUGAAGAGUAAAGCUCUGCUUGCUUUAUUUUUUUUUUUUUAACCAAUACAACACUCAAGAGUGCAGCUGAUUUAAAGUAUCUCUUUAUAAGGACAACUUUAUAGUACCAUGAGGAAAAACUUCUUACCUUGGCUUUGGUACCUUGUCUUCAGGUACAGCUGUCCAAACAGAGUCAGGAGUUUUUUGUUCUUUAAAUCUCCCUUUGAAGACCUUCUCAAUGUCAUCCAUGCUGAAAGCACACACUGCUGAACCAGGGAUGCUGUAAAAUAAGAAAAAGAGUCGCAAGAACUCAGCCUACAAUAGCACCAAUCUCAGUGCAAGAGAGAACCAGAGAACUACCUUUGAAGUAAAGUUGCUCAUCUCUCACCUGUUGAGCUGUGUAGUGAAUACACCGACGACUGUGGGGAUUCCAUUGAUUUCUAUUAUGUCUGUGAUAGACUGCAGAACAUCAAAGUAGAAGAACGAAUCCCCAGGAACGGAGCAGUUGAGCCGAGCUUUCAGAAAGGAUGUCCAAUGUUUUUCCAGGACUCUCUGGGAACCCCCCAUGUCAUUUUUGCAUAUGCGUGCCACACGGGAAUACACGGCCUGUGAAGGGUGGAAAAAUGGAAACGGAAGGAAGGGCUGAGAGAUUCAAGGGCAAAAGUGCUUGUUUCUGAGCCGUUAAUAAAACACUGCAGAUAAUUUUAACAGGAUACAGUUGCCACUUAUCUGUGCAGAAAGGAAGAAAGCGAACAAUGUUUAGCUGCUAGUGCAUAGGCAUCUUAAUGAAUCGCCAAGCAAAUGCAACUCCGCCAGCUUGUCGCCACCUUUUUUCCAUUCAAAAUCAUAUUGUUAGUGAGAUUUAAAGACUUUAAUUAAUCACGUGUGAAGAAGUUAAUAAUUCAUUAUAGAAUAUCCUUCCACGGUGAGGCAUUAGCAUUAUACUCUGCAGUGGUAUGACUGAAUUAUUCAAUAUCUACGGACAUUAGAGAAACUUCUUUGAAACUCUUCUUUUGUGUUCUUUUGUUUCUUUUAUAAGCAUGGAAAAAAAACCCACCCAGAUAUUCCAUUAACUGUCACAUGUGUUAAGGCAACAGCUACACUAAAAGAUACCUGCAUAGGGCUCUCCUAACUGCAAGGCAUGAAGAAUACCAAUAACUUUUUGGUAGAAGAAUGCACUGUUGUGGUUUUUUUUCUCUGCUUGUAAACUGUAAUUUUGGAAUAACUGCAUAAAUUUGGUACUACAGCCUUAUUUCACAUUGUAAGCUGUACUUGUUACUGCUACUUUUUUGAUGAUCUAAUUCUGCCAAGGCUCAUGAGAGCUUGCUGGAAGGAUACCCACCUUGCCUAAAUUAUUGUGCUCUACAGCAAUUUCGCGAAAGAAGAAAUACACGUAGUUCCCAUAUUCUAUGGCAUGGAGAAAGUGUGGCUCUGUAAUAAAGAGCAAGGAAAAAGUUACUUCAAAGAACUGUUCAGUCAGCAUACAACACUGGCUGCACUGUGCAACUCAGUGGCUUCUCCCAAAGGUCCAUACCAGCUAACAUUGCCUCCAUCCCUCCAGACACAUCAGGACGUCCAAAUAUGAGUGCACUCAUAUGAACCAUAAGGCUUUUAGUGUUGGCUAAUAGACUAUAAGAAGAAGCUUCAAAGGAACUGCAUUUCAGCUCAGGAGUCUGCUACAAACGUGGGUGAGAGCUGAAGGGAAGCAAGAACCCUCUAUGCGCACAGGCCAAUGUGACUGACACAGCAAGGCUGCCACUCCUUUCAGCACCAUUAGGCAGUGCCUGAUAAGGAAGCGCUGGGACAGGUAGGAGCCAGUAUGCGCAGGUGUGGGCAGUGAAGGUCUCAGCCCUGACAUGCAUGAGCACAUGAUGCCAGAGCUCCUUCACCCAGAGCAACUCCAGUGUUGGGUCCUCUAAGGUAUCCAGCUAACAGGUCCUGCCCCAAACAAUGCUGGCAUCAACCGCACUCCAGAAAGCAUCUCCUCUUCCCAUCAGUGCUCCCCAUGUGGAGUGUUGCCGUGUUGCACCUCGCUGGGCAUGGGUCUGCUGGCUCAAGCUGCUGGGCAAAGUGGCACUGCUCACAUCAAAGAGAAGGUAAAUGGCUGCUGGAAAAUGGGAGGGGAGAGGGAGACUAUCAGCUGGCAAGAAUCACCAUCAGAGCAUCCUAAGCACCACGCUGGUAUUAUCAGUAUGCCAGAGCAGCCAGCCAGCCCUGCCUACAAGAAUACUGACUCUAGAGACCAGUGAAGGGUUUUAGCCAGCCUUGGUUUUUCUGCAUGGACAAGUAUGAUAGCUGGCCACCCGGUUCCCUCUUUGUACAUGCAGAGCAUGUGCUUUGCCACUUUCCUGGUCACAAUCAAUUACGUGUACAAAUGCAGGCACGGAAAACCAGAGGAAGCCUGAGCUCAAAGUUACGAAUACUAUUAUCUUGUUAAGCAUUAAAGAUUAACUAACAACAGUCAAAGGAUGUGUUAUGAAACGUCUUUCCCAGGCUGAAAAGCAAAUAAAGGGAGAGUUUUGUGUUU